rnacentral:rRNA from 1 species
UGAUGACGAGACGCUAAGGCGUUGAAGCAGUGUAUGUCAGACUUCCAAGAAAAGCUCGCAAUGUCACAAAUAAACAAUGCCUGUACCAUAACCGACACAGGUGGGUAGGUAGAGUAUACUAAGGGGCGCGAGAUAACUCUCUCUAAGGAACUCGGCAAAAUGACUCCGUAACUUCGGGAGAAGGAGUGCCUUAUUUAUAAGGUUGCAAUAACAAGAUCCAAGCAACUGUUUAUCAAAAACACAGGUCUCCGCUAAGUCGUAAGACGAUGUAUGGGGGCUGACGCCUGCCCAGUGCCAGAAGGUUAAAGAAGUUGGUUAGUGUAUGCGAAGCUGAUGACUGAAGCCCUGGUGAACGGCGGCCGUAACUAUAACGGUCCUAAGGUAGCGAAAUUCCUUGUCGGGUAAGUUCCGACCCGCACGAAAGGCGUAAUGAUUUGGAUACUGUCUCGGAGAGAGGCUCGGUGAAAUAGACUUGUCUGUGAAGAUGCGGACUACCUGCACCAGGACAGAAAGACCCUAUGAAGCUUUACUGUAACUUGAAAUUGGAAUUGGACUUUGCUUGCGCAGUAUAGGUGGGAAGCGUUGAAAAUAUUCUUGCGGGAGUAUUGGAGCUAUCAGUGAGAUACCACUCUUGUAAUGUUAGAUUUCUAACUUUGAACCAUAAUCUGGUCAAAGAACAGUUUCAGGUGGGCAGUUUGACUGGGGCGGUCGCCUCCCAAAUGGUAACGGAGGCGUACAAAGGUUUCCUCUGAACGGAUAGAAAUCGUAUCUAGAGUGUAAAGGCAUAAGGAAGCUUGACUGUGAGACCUACAAGUCGAGCAGGGACGAAAGUCGGUCUUAGUGAUCUGACGGUACUGAGUGGAAAGGCCGUCACUCAACGGAUAAAAGUUACUCUAAGGAUAACAGGCUGAUCUCCCCCAAGAGUUCACAUCGACGGGGAGGUUUGGCACCUCGAUGUCGGCUCAUCGCAUCCUGGGGCGGUAGUACGUCCCAAGGGUUGGGCUGUUCGCCCAUGAAAGCGGUACGCGAGCUGGGUUCAGAACGUCGUGAGACAGUUCGGUCCAUAUCCGGUGUAGGCGCUAGAAUAUUGAGAGGAGCCUUCUUUAGUACGAGAGGACCGAGAAGGACACACCGCUGGUGUACCAGUUAUCGUGCCAACGGUAAACGCUGGGUAGCUAUGUGUGGAGUGGAUAACCGCUGAAAGCAUCUAAGUGGGAAGCCCACCUCGAGAUGAGUAUUC